rnacentral:rRNA from 1 species
AGUGAACGCUGGCGGUAGGCCUAACACAUGCAAGUCGAACGGCAGCACAGUAAGAGCUUGCUCUUACGGGUGGCGAGUGGCGGACGGGUGAGGAAUAAAUCGGAAUCUACUUUUUCGUGGGGGAUAACGUAGGGAAACUUACGCUAAUACCGCAUACGACCUACGGGUGAAAGCAGGGGAUCCUCGGACCUUGCGCGAUUGAAUGAGCCGAUGUCGGAUUAGCUAGUUGGCGGGGUAAAGGCCCACCAAGGCGACGAUCCGUAGCUGGUCUGAGAGGAUGAUCAGCCACACUGGAACUGAGACACGGUCCAGACUCCUACGGGAGGCAGCAGUGGGGAAUAUUGGACAAUGGGCGCAAGCCUGAUCCAGCCAUACCGCGUGGGUGAAGAAGGCCUUCGGGUUGUAAAGCCCUUUUGUUGGGAAAGAAAAGCAGCAGGUUAAUACCCCGCUGUUCUGACGGUACCCAAAGAAUAAGCACCGGCUAACUUCGUG